rnacentral:lncRNA from 1 species
AAUUGAGUUUCCCAGUUUCUACAGACUGCCAUUGCUAUGCACGGCUGAGAUGGACAGAGUUUGCUUGUGAAUCCGCCACACUCACUGCCUGUCACCACACCUGCAGGCGACGACUGUAAGGGCAAGAGGCACCUCGACGCGCACACAGCCGCCCACUCGCAGUCGCCACGGCUGCCCGGUCGGGCAGGGACCCUCUGGCACAUCUGGGCAUGUGCAGGUUACUUCUUGCUGCAGAUUCUGCGCAGGAUCGGAGCUGUGGGCCAGGCUGUGUCCAGGACGGCGUGGUCGGCCCUUUGGCUGGCCGUGGUUGCUCCAGGGAAGGCAGCCUCUGGAGUGUUCUGGUGGCUGGGGAUUGGAUGGUACCAGUUUGUUACUUUGAUUUCUUGGCUGAAUGUGUUUCUUCUUACCAGGUGCCUUCGAAACAUCUGCAAGUUUUUAGUCUUGCUCAUCCCACUCUUCCUUUUACUAGGUAAGUCAAAUCUGGCUGAGUUGCCUCCGAUGGCUAAGCGGUACACACAUAUGUGUAACUUAGUGGAAAAAAAUGAGCGUGUAAGUCCAUGUUUUGAGAAGCGUGGUGUACCUGUGUGUGUGUGGUGGCUCUUCUCUUUUAGCAGGUCUCUCCUUACGGGGCCAGGGCAAUUUCUUUUCGUUCUUGCCCGUGUUGAACUGGGCAAGCAUGC